CGGAAGUGUAAUCUUCAGCUCCAGCUGCCGCUAAUCUUUCCUCACGAAACGGAGGUAUUUAACGGUGUGUCCGGACGGCAGUCAACGCUGGAUCGUACUCGGAGCUCGGUGGAGAAGUACGGGACGGAGGAGUGGAGAGAAAGGAUUCACUGGUGUUUUCGGGAGGAGGAACUCACACGGAAGGAGUGCACACAGACCUCACGGGAAAACUCACCUUCAUCACUUUUGGGAAUUGAGAAAAAGGACAUUGUUGGAUAUCUCGCUGUUUAAAGACUACAUUACUACAUUUCAAGCACUCUAAAUAAACGCACUGUCUGCUUCAACACAGAGCUCCGCGCUUGAGUCCAUACCUUCCAUUAGCCCUGACAUUUUGACUGAUGGAUUUUUAUUUAUGUUUCUCUGGUGCUUUGUUGGGUUUUAUGAUGAAUCUGUGUUUCAGUUAUUUUGAUGUGUUUUUUCAUUGUGGAUUGUUUUCUUAUUCUCUUGUAGUGCUUGUGUUGGUGAUGAUGAUUAUGAUGAUUAUUAUUAGAGUUUCAUGUUUCUGUUUAUCUGUGUUUAAGGAAUUGUGGUCUCACGUAUUGUUUGAGUUCCAUGUGUUAUAUUCUGCCUCUCAGUCUGCAUCCUUGUUUAGUGGUCUAUUGUUUCCUGUUUUAUUUUGAAGGAGUGUGCCUUAUGUUAGUGUGUCUAGCUUCGCUCCCCUGUCUCGUUAGCCCCAAUCUCUCCCAACUGUCUCCCCCUCCUGUUUUCCAUUCCCUGAUUACUUCCCUGUGUAUAUUAGCCCUGUGUUUGCCCUUGCUCAGUGUCGCGUCGUACCCUCAGAAUUAUGCCUGUGUUUCAGUUCUCAGUGUCAUUGUUCAGUUCAUGUUUUCAAUUAUCACCAGCAAUAAAGCUAAGGUUCUCAGUUUCUA